CAUGAAGGCACACUAAUAUCCCAUUUCUAAAUCAGUGGGUUCUACCUGCACCUGUAAGAGCUACUCAUAAAUAAGUGAGGCGCAAAGACUCGGCGUUUGUUCCGUCGCUCCUGAACUCGUACCAAAUAAUGGAAUCUUUCAGGUAACUAGUUUACUUUUCUAAAAUAGUACUUACUUUUAAAAAAUUUUAGACACUUCCACGGAUAUAUUUAAAAAAGAAAAUAGCAAAUGUUUCCGGUUAAGCUACUACUCACAAUUAAAAAAUGCUUUACCUUCUCCUCUGGAUGGUCUAGGAUCAUUACUAUAAACACAAUGCAAGUGCCUCCUGGCAGGUAAAGGUGACAGCGCCAAGUAACUCCGGGUGCUAAGUGGGGCGUUGUAAUUAUCUAAUGGGUUAGAGACUAUCUAACUUUGCAGAUUGCUCCAAUUUCAUGGAUGAGAAAACUGAGGCUCAGCGAGGUUAAGUAAAGGGCUUUGCAGGCGGUGAAGACUCGCACACAGAUCACCAUCACCAAAGCCUGGGCUCCCUGGUGGCCCGAUGGCGACUCGCCCUGCAGAAAAGAGAGCUGCUCCCCCUGCUAACAGGGCUCUCUUCAGCGGUUUAAUAAAUGCCAUCUUGUGCUUAUGCCUGACCGUCACAGACUGUAGGGCUUGCUACCUUUAAGUUAGCCGGCUAAUUCGUGCCUUGGCUUCCUUUCUGCAAGGAAUUCUUGUUACCUCUUGGUGCUCUGGAUCCGUGCUAGCCUGAGAAAUUAAAUAAGCCAGCCUCUUCUGAGAAUGUCUAAACAUCCCUGGGUUCCAAGUGGGCCUCUCCGAGCUCCUCUAACGAAGUGAGGUGCAGACUUGGCGAUUUGUGAUUUCGUUUCCUGAGGGUCUCUCUGCUUCCUUCCAGCUCCCCAGCUGCAUUGCAGAUCAGGGAAGUUGUUACAUAUCUUAUGAACUCUGAAUAUAAGGCAUAUUACUACCCACCGUGGAUACAUGGGCAUCGCAGACCAAAAUGCUGAGGCCGUUACAGUAAUUGUUGCCGCUUACCGCACGCCUCUUCCGUCCCACGGGCGUUUUACAGACGUCGUCUCUUGGAACCCUGGCGGCCAGCGCGCGGGCACUCUUCCCAGACUCGAGUUCUCUGCGCGCAGAGGCCGCCAGCUGUCCAGGGGCCGCGCAGCUGGCCAGGAUCCCAAGGCAGACGGCCCCUCCCCUGGGCCUGCGCGGAGCAGAGGGACACGUGCGGUCUCCUCCAGGCGCCGGGUGGGCACGCACGACCCCCGCCGCGGCCUCUGCCGGGGCCCAGGACCCGUCGGCCAUGAGCAGCCCCAACGGCACGGCGCCGCCCCCCGACCAGUCCGACUCGGGGAUCACCUCCCAGACGGACAUCGCGGUCAUUUCAGGUGUGAUCGCAGCGGUGGCCUUCGUCCUGGUCUGCCUCCUCUUCGUCCUGCUGUGUUACCAGUGCCGGC
rnacentral:lncRNA from 1 species